rnacentral:lncRNA from 1 species
CCCUCCAUCCUCUACAGCUCAGCAUCAGAACACUCUCUUUUUAGACUCCGAUAUGGGGUCCUCCAAGAAAGUUACUCUCUCAGUGCUCAGCCGGGAGCAGUCGGAAGGGGUUGGAGCGAGGGUCCGGAGAAGCAUUGGCAGACCCGAGUUAAAAAAUCUGGAUCCGUUUUUACUGUUUGAUGAAUUUAAAGGAGGUAGACCAGGAGGAUUUCCUGAUCAUCCACAUCGAGGUUUUGAAACAGUAUCCUACCUCCUGGAAGGGGGCAGCAUGGCCCAUGAAGACUUCUGUGGACACACUGGUAAAAUGAACCCAGGAGAUUUGCAGUGGAUGACUGCGGGCCGGGGCAUUCUGCACGCUGAGAUGCCUUGCUCAGAGGAGCCAGCCCAUGGCCUACAACUGUGGGUUAAUUUGAGGAGCUCAGAGAAGAUGGUGGAGCCUCAGUACCAGGAACUGAAAAGUGAAGAAAUCCCUAAACCCAGUAAGGAUGGUGUGACAGUUGCUGUCAUUUCUGGAGAAGCCCUGGGAAUAAAGUCCAAGGUUUACACUCGCACACCAACCUUAUAUUUGGACUUCAAAUUGGACCCAGGAGCCAAACAUUCCCAACCUAUCCCUAAAGGGUGGACAAGCUUCAUUUACACGAUAUCUGGAGAUGUGUAUAUUGCCCUCUCUAUAUCCCAGCACAGGUAUGCCCAGGGCAGGGUGCCUUUCAGCUUACAGAACAUUCAGUGAGGGAAGAGAAUAUGAACACCAGUCAUGACACAUCCUGUGCACAGAUGAAAGUCCAGGCACCAUUAUGUGUUUUGAUACCUCGCUAAGACGUUGGCAACCUCCAUACUGAUAAAGGGAUGGAGCUACAGUGGACUCCAAGGGGAGCAGGAAUCUGCCUAUCUCCUGGGAGAAGGAAAUGGAAGGAGGGCCCGAUGAUGCACAACAAAAAAUAGAACCUCAUCACACAGCAGUGCUUGGAGAAGGUGACAGUGUCCAGGUGGAGAACAAGGAUCCCAAGAGAAGCCACUUUGUCUUAAUUGCUGGGGAGCCAUUAAGAGAACCAGUUAUCCAACAUGCGAUCAUCUCAGUCCACAUUGGAACGAUCUGAACAGCAGAUCAGGGCUGCUUCUAGUUUGGAGGAACUACUUCGAAUUACUCACUCUGAGGACUGGAAGCUGUGGAGAUGCAGGCUGAGGCUCAAAAGUUUUACCAGUAUGGACUCUCGCUCAGCAUCCCAUCGGUCCACUAGGUUUGCGGCAACUUUCUAUGACAUUGAAACACUAAAAGUUAUAGAUGAAGAAUGGCAAAGAACUCAGUGCAGCCCUAGAGAAACGUGCGUGGAGGUGGCCAGUGAGCUGGGGAAGAGUACCAACACAUUCUUCAAGCCCCCUUGUGUGAACGUGUUCCGAUGUGGUGGCUGUUGCAAUGAAGAGAGCCUUAUCUGUAUGAACACCAGCACCUCGUACAUUUCCAAACAGCUCUUUGAGAUAUCAGUGCCUUUGACAUCAGUACCUGAAUUAGUGCCUGUUAAAGUUGCCAAUCAUACAGGUUGUAAGUGCUUGCCAACAGCCCCCCGCCAUCCAUACUCAAUUAUCAGAAGAUCCAUCCAGAUCCCUGAAGAAGAUCGCUGUUCCCAUUCCAAGAAACUCUGUCCUAUUGACAUGCUAUGGGAUAGCAACAAAUGUAAAUGUGUUUUGCAGGAGGAAAAUCCACUUGCUGGAACAGAAGACCACUCUCAUCUCCAGGAACCAGCUCUCUGUGGGCCACACAUGAUGUUUGACGAAGAUCGUUGCGAGUGUGUCUGUAAAACACCAUGUCCCAAAGAUCUAAUCCAGCACCCCAAAAACUGCAGUUGCUUUGAGUGCAAAGAAAGUCUGGAGACCUGCUGCCAGAAGCACAAGCUAUUUCACCCAGACACCUGCAGCUGUGAGGACAGAUGCCCCUUUCAUACCAGACCAUGUGCAAGUGGCAAAACAGCAUGUGCAAAGCAUUGCCGCUUUCCAAAGGAGAAAAGGGCUGCCCAGGGGCCCCACAGCCGAAAGAAUCCUUGAUUCAGCGUUCCAAGUUCCCCAUCCCUGUCAUUUUUAACAGCAUGCUGCUUUGCCAAGUUGCUGUCACUGUUUUUUUCCCAGGUGUUAAAAAAAAAAUCCAUUUUACACAGCACCACAGUGAAUCCAGACCAACCUUCCAUUCACACCAGCUAAGGAGUCCCUGGUUCAUUGAUGGAUGUCUUCUAGCUGCAGAUGCCUCUGCGCACCAAGGAAUGGAGAGGAGGGGACCCAUGUAAUCCUUUUGUUUAGUUUUGUUUUUGUUUUUUGGUGAAUGAGAAAGGUGUGCUGGUCAUGGAAUGGCAGGUGUCAUAUGACUGAUUACUCAGAGCAGAUGAGGAAAACUGUAGUCUCUGAGUCCUUUGCUAAUCGCAACUCUUGUGAAUUAUUCUGAUUCUUUUUUAUGCAGAAUUUGAUUCGUAUGAUCAGUACUGACUUUCUGAUUACUGUCCAGCUUAUAGUCUUCCAGUUUAAUGAACUACCAUCUGAUGUUUCAUAUUUAAGUGUAUUUAAAGAAAAUAAACACCAUUAUUCAAGCCAUAUAA